rnacentral:lncRNA from 1 species
UACAUUAUGUGUUUUAUAUUUUAACCAAGUAGAAGAGUUAGUUUGAUGAUAAAGUUACUCAUUAUUUCCUAGUCAUCGUCACAUGCAUUGCUAUUGUUUGCUAAGUGAUAUAUCUUGUGUUGUUGAUGUUAUAAGCUAUAUGUGCAUUUAAUUUAUCUUACUCCACUUAUUUUAUAUCUUGGCUCACUCUCUCCUCAGCUGAGGAUUUCUUGUUUUAGAAGCUUCACUAUAAUGGGUUUCACUUGGUGAGUUUGAAGUAUUCAAUGUUGUUAGUAGCCUCCUAGAAUGGGGGAAAUUGUUUUGAGGAGGAAGUUCAAAUUUUGGCCAAGGUUUGAAAAGUUGCGUCUUUGUCUAUAUAAGGUCAUUUGAAUUUGCUUGACAAUUACUUUAAGAUAGGGAUCUUGCUCAUCAAAAUCUUUUCAUAUGGAGGGGUAAUUGUUGAUGCAUGUGAUAUAUAUAUAUAUCUUGUGUGUUUGUGGGUUUUUAGUGGAGUCGACUUGUCAUUUUUUUGUCACUUAAGAGUUUGUCCUUUAUGCGCGACAUAUGAUUUUUAGGUGGUUAGGGUGAGAGUUAGUGAUUCAUAUUUGCUAUGUUUGUGGAUCUUGUGGUUAGGGCAGGUUAGCUAGGCUAGUUCGACUAUGCUCUAGCAUUUAGUUGUAUGGUCAAUUUGAAAGUCCCGUAACUAAUCUAUUUUUUCUAGAAAGACAACGAUUGUAGAGCAAUUGGUGGACAUGAUAAAAUUCUCCUAUAGUGAAAGUUGUUUCUUAGUAAGACCUUUGGUCAUUCCCACCUUGGCUUUGAGCCAAAAAAUGAUUUGUUGGCCGGGCUGGAUCGAAUUGUGCUUAACUUGAUUGGUUGUAUGAUUCUUGUCUUACACACGGUAGAGUGCUUCUGGAUUCUCCAUUGCUUUAAUAGUUUGCUAAUGAUGUUUUUUUCUCAAUU